AGUUCGUGAGUUCUCAUGAAACAGGUCAGCCACUGUUAGGUUCAUAGAUGCCUCUGUCGCCGGUCCUGUUGGUCUCAGCUGUGCGGAGAGGCUGAGCCAUGGGUCAUACCACACACUAAUUGAUGAGCCGUCUCCAACAACCCAUCCCAUGUUCUCUUUUAGUAGAUCCCUACCUACUAGAAUCCCGCGCCAUCCGUGUGAAAUUGCCGAUUUUUCAGUGACUUCCAUGAAGCUUUCUGAAGCUCAAAAUGGAAAUGAAGAGAGCACCAUCCUGAGUAAAACCACGUUAGUAUCGGAAAAUAAAUCAGACAAGUUACAUUUGAUAUAUAUACAAAACAAGAAUAUGCAAGAAAAAAAUUAACAUAAACCAUUAACUUCUUUUCCCACUUGCUUGAAGCCAUAUCUAACUGAAAUUAGACAGUUCCGUGUCCUUCAAACUCUUGUGCACACUGGAGCUACAAGAGAAAACCUUAUGACGCGAAACAUCCUUACAAGAGCAAGUGUUAACAUCAUGCCAAAAAAUAGCCGAAUAUGAUGAAUUAGCGUAACCAGAACUUGUUAUGGUAAUGUGUUAAUGAGAAUGAAAAUGUUUUCAGCAGUUAUGUUUCCAUAUAAGGAAUGAGUGGAUGAGAAUAUUUUCUUUCACGUGUUUGAUUCCAUCAGUUGUAGUUUGUUUGUUAAUAUUUAGUUAUACAUAAGAUGUAUGGACCUUCUAGUUUAUAUGUACAUGAAUUUUGCAUUUUCAUGAA